AGAAUGAUAGGCCGUCGGUCUACCGAACAAUAACACCCGCUCGGCGGAAGAUGUUCCCUCUGUCGU
rnacentral:pre_miRNA from 1 species